AUUGAACGCUGGCGGCAUGCUUUACACAUGCAAGUCGGACGGCAGCACAGAGAAGCUUGCUUCUUGGGUGGCGAGUGGCGAACGGGUGAGUAAUAUAUCGGAACGUACCGAGUAAUGGGGGAUAACUAAUCGAAAGAUUAGCUAAUACCGCAUAUUCUCUGAGGAGGAAAGCAGGGGACCUUCGGGCCUUGCGUUAUUCGAGCGGCCGAUAUCUGAUUAGCUAGUUGGUGGGGUAAAGACCUACCAAGGCGACGAUCAGUAGCGGGUCUGAGAGGAUGAUCCGCCACACUGGGACUGAGACACGGCCCAGACUCCUACGGGAGGCAGCAGUGGGGAAUUUUGGACAAUGGGCGCAAGCCUGAUCCAGCCAUGCCGCGUGUCUGAAGAAGGCCUUCGGGUUGUAAAGGACUUUUGUCAGGGAAGAAAAGGCUGUUGCUAAUACCGACAGCUGAUGACGGUACCUGAAGAAUAAGCACCGGCUAACUACGUGCCAGCAGCCGCGGUAAUACGUAGGGUGCGAGCGUUAAUCGGAAUUACUGGGCGUAAAGCGAGCGCAGACGGUUACUUAAGCAGGAUGUGAAAUCCCCGGGCUCAACCUGGGAACUGCGUUCUGAACUGGGUGACUAGAGUGUGUCAGAGGGAGGUAGAAUUCCACGUGUAGCAGUGAAAUGCGUAGAGAUGUGGAGGAAUACCGAUGGCGAAGGCAGCCUCCUGGGAUAACACUGACGUUCAUGCUCGAAAGCGUGGGUAGCAAACAGG
rnacentral:rRNA from 1 species